rnacentral:rRNA from 1 species
AGAGCUAAUGGAGAAUGCCUUGGUACUGACAGCCGACGAAGGACGUGUAAAGCUGCGAUAAGCUACGGGGAGUUGCUAAAAGACCUUGAUCCGUAGAAAUCCGAAUGGGGAAACCCUGCAAGGUUAAAACCUUGUAAUCCACAUAUGAAUACAUAGUAUGUGCGAAGGAAAGCCUGUGAACUGAAACAUCUUAGUAACAGGACGAAAAGAAAAUAAAUCAAUGAUUCCGAAAGUAGCGGCGAGCGAAAUUGGAAGAGCCUAAACAGUAUGUACGUGAUAGACUGCAAUCGUUGUGCAUAUUGAGUUGUGGGACUUACGGUAUAAUUUGCAGAUUAUACAAAGAGUUACAAAAUUAUUUAUUAGCUAAAUCCAACUGGGAAGUUGAGCCAUAGCGGGUGAUAGCCCCUUAAGCGACAAUAAAUAAUCUCUUGUAAGUAUCCCGAGUAAGGCGGGGCACGUGAAACCCUGUCUGAAUCCACCGGGACCAUCCGGUAAGGCUAAAUACUAGUCAGUGACCGAUAGUGAACGAGUACAGUGAUGGAAAGGCGAAAAGAACAGUGAGAAGCUGAGUGAAAUAGACCCUGAAACCGUUAGCUUACAAUCAGUUAGAGCCCUAUAAAUAGGGUGAUAGCGUGCCUGUUGAAGAAUGAGCCGGCGAGUUAUUUUAUGUUGCAAGGUUAAGGAGUUAACAUCCGGAGCCCCAGCGAAAGCGAGUUUGAAAAGAGCGUUAAGUAACAUGAAAUAGACCCGAACCUUGGUGAUCUAACCUUGACCAGGAUGAAGCGUGGGUAACACUACGUGGAGGUCCGAACCGACUGAUGUUGAAAAAUCAGCGGAUGAGUUGAGGUUAGGGGUGAAAUGCCAAUCGAACCAAGAGCUAGCUGGUUCUCCCCGAAAUGCGUUUAGGCACAGCGUCAGAAUUAUCUUACAGGAGGUAGAGCACUGGUUUUGUGCGGGCGGCGAAAUGCUGUACCAAACAAUGUCAAACUCCGAAUGCCUGUAAAGUUACUAUCUGGCAGUGAGGCUACGAGUGAUAAGAUCCGUGGCCAAGAGGGAAACAGCCCAGAACGCCAGUUAAGGUCCCUAAUAUAUGCUAAGUGGUUAAGGAGGUAGAGUUGCAUUGACAACCAGGAGGUUGGCUUAGAAGCAGCCAUCCCUUGAAAGAGUGCGUAAUAGCUCACUGGUCAAGCGACUCCGCGCCGAAAAUACACCGGGACUCAAGCAUAUAACCGAAGCUGCGUCAUUUGAGUUUACUCAGAUGGGUAGGGGAGCGUUCUGUUGUAGGACGAAGUAAGAUCGAAAGGACUUAUGGACGAAGCAGAAGUGAGAAUGUCGGCAUAAGUAGCGAAAACAUUGGUGAGAAUCCAAUGCACCGUAAACCUAAGGUUUCCCCUGGCAGGCUCGUCCGCAGGGGGUUAGUCGGAACCUAAGAUGAGGCCGAAAGGCGUAGUCGAUGGACAUCAGGUUGAUAUUCCUGAACUAUCUGGUAAUCGUUAUCAGAUGCGGAGGGACGCAGGAGGAUAGGCACGCAGCCGACUGGAAGAGGCUGUUUAAGCGUGUAGCUAGUUUGAGUAGGAAAAUCCGCUCAGGCGUUAUGACGUGAGGCGUAAUGAGGAGAGUCUACGGACUCGAAGGUGUUGACUCCACACUGCCAAGAAAAACUUCGCACUCGAGAUUAUCCGGUAUCCGUACCGUAAACCGCCACAGGUAGGUUAGUAGAACAUACUAAGGUGCGCGAGACAACUCUCGCUAAGGAACUCGGCAAAAUCACCUCGUAACUUCGGGAGAAGAGGUACCCUGGUAGAGUGAAGCGAUUUACUCGUGGAGCUUGAUAGGGUCGCAGUGAAUUGGCCCAUGCGACUGUUUACCAAAAACACAGGUCUCUGCUAAGUCGAACAAGACGAUGUAUAGGGGCUGACGCCUGCCCGGUGUCGGAAGGUUACGUGGAAGGGUUAGUAGUAAUACGAAGCUCUGAAACUAAGCCCCGAUGAACGGCGGCCGUAACUAUAACGGUCCUAAGGUAGCGAAAUUCCUUGUCAGGUAAAUUCUGACCCGCACGAAUGGCGUAAUGAUUUGGGAACUGUCUCAACAAGAGACCCGGCGAAAUUGUAGUAUACGUGAAGAUGCGUAUUAACCUGCGACUGGACGGAAAGACCCCGUAGAGCUUUACUGUAGCUUGGUAUUGAAUUUCGGCAAUGAAUGUACAGGAUAGGUGGGAGACUUGGAAGCCUCGGCGUCAGCUGAGGUGGAGUCACCCUUGGGAUACCACCCUUUUAUUGCUGGGGUUCUAACGGUGUGCCGUUAUCCGGGCACCGGACAUUGCCAGGUGGGCAGUUUGACUGGGGCGGUCGCCUCCCAAAAAGUAACGGAGGCGCCCAAAGGUUCCCUCAGAAUGGUUGGAAAUCAUUCGCAGAGUGCAAAGGCAGAAGGGAGCUUGACUGCGAGACAGACAUGUCGAGCAGAUACGAAAGUAGGGCUUAGUGAUCCGGCGGUAGAGUAUGGAAUUGCCGUCGCUUAACGGAUAAAAGUUACCUCGGGGAUAACAGGCUUAUUCCCCCCAAGAGUUCACAUCGACGGGGGAGUUUGGCACCUCGAUGUCGGCUCGUCACAUCCUGGGGCUGUAGUAGGUCCCAAGGGUUCGGCUGUUCGCCGAUUAAAGUGGCACGCGAGCUGGGUUCAG